rnacentral:rRNA from 1 species
AUACGGAGGAUGCGAGCGUUAUCCGGAUUUAUUGGGUUUAAAGGGUGCGUAGGCGGCCUUGUAAGUCAGCGGUGAAAUUUUGCAGCUUAACUGUAAAAGUGCCGUUGAUACUGUGAGGCUAGGAUUUGGUUGCUGUGGGUGGAAUGUGUGGUGUAGCGGUGAAAUGCUUAGAGAUCACACAGAAUAUCGAUUGCGAAGGCAGCUCACAAAGCCAAGAUUGACGCUGAGGCACGAUAGUGUGGGGAUCAAACAGGAUUAGAUACCCUGGUAGUCCGUGCCGUAAACGAUGAAUACUAGGUGUAGGGGGUAUCGACUCCCUCUGUGCCGCAGUUAACACAUUAAGUAUUCCACCUGGGGAGUACGGCCGCAAGGUUGAAACUCAAAUGAAUUGACGGGG